UCGCACAAGUUGCUCAGAUCCAAGACAGCAUUCAAAGAGAAACUGACACAGUACGGUGACAAAUGUUUCCUUCUAUUUAACAAGCGUCAACCGAAAAGGUUCAAAUGCAUAUCGGAUGAUUUAAACAAUUCAUAAUGAUCUCAGUCUGUUAUCGAUUCAUGCAGAACUGCCACAUCAAUACAUUGUUAAGAAAAGUUUUAAAGCUCAAACAAUGAAUUCUAAUGCCGUAAAAAAAUACAGAGAUGGCGGGCACCAUUGAUUCGAAAUGGAGUUUGAAGAACGAACCGACAAGCCGCUCAUUACGUACAAUGAAGCUAUUAAGAGUGCAAGACAUCGGAAACGUGUUUGCAUAAAAUCCUAAAAUUGAUCCCUGUAACUCUCAAUUGUUGCAAGUUUCAAAUGGACGUGAUUCAUGCACCAGCAGUCCAUCAAAUGCUCGGGUUCUCGAUAAUACAUUGCUUUGUCUAUAACAAAGCAACAAAUGAUUGUCAUAGAACGGGUAUAGACCACAUGUGACGUCAGCAACAGCAGCAUAGGAUCGCUUCAUCCAAUUGCAUUAUCUUCGUCAACGAUUCACAACAACGUCACCCACAGCAUCUGUCAUCCCAGAGAUGAUCAGACUCUUCACAAUGGAUUUUACAGAUUUUAUAGGACUUGAAAUAUGUCUCCAAUGUAGUAAUUUUUACUUUUUUCUGUAAUUUUUUUAAUAAAAUGACGCAAAAUUUAUGGGUUUUUGGAAAAAAUAUAAGUUCUCCCAUUAAAAGUCAUUCAAUAA